GAAGGAAAGAGACCUGGCCCACGAGCACACGCAACUAGGUCCAAGUGUCCUGCAAAGGAAGAAAGCAGACACACAGGCACGCGCGGCCAGAGACCAGAUGUCUUGAAAAGGGAGCGACUAAGCUAGCUUUGGGUACACUGGGCCAGCUCAAAACCGGCUGGCCGGUACGACCCAGGCACGCGUGAUAAAGGAUUUAGAGGCCAGGCCGGCGCAACCUUCCCCACAAACUCGGUCUCCCGCCCACCACCGCUGCCUGCCACCAGGGGGCACUCCCCGACCCAAGCAACGGAGAGUCACAGCUCAGAUCAGACAGGCCUGCACCUGGGCUCUUGCACCAGAGUUCGGAAACUGCCAAGUGACUGCUGGAGUUGGACAUGAAUAUAAUCCAGUACGUGGAGGCAGAAAGAGGAAGGAAGAUCAAGAGUUCAAGGAGGCUUGAGAGUGGGGGCAGAAGAAGAGAGAA
ensembl:antisense 1810034E14Rik RIKEN cDNA 1810034E14 gene